rnacentral:rRNA from 1 species
GACGAACGCUGGCGGCGUGCCUAAUACAUGCAAGUAGAACGCUGAAGGAGGAGCUUGCUUCUCUGGAUGAGUUGCGAACGGGUGAGUAACGCGUAGGUAACCUGCCUGGUAGCGGGGGAUAACUAUUGGAAACGAUAGCUAAUACCGCAUAAUAGUAGAUGUUGCAUGACAUUUACUUAAAAGGUGCAAUUGCAUCACUACCAGAUGGACCUGCGUUGUAUUAGCUAGUUGGUGGGGUAACGGCUCACCAAGGCGACGAUACAUAGCCGACCUGAGAGGGUGAUCGGCCACACUGGGACUGAGACACGGCCCAGACUCCUACGGGAGGCAGCAGUAGGGAAUCUUCGGCAAUGGACGGAAGUCUGACCGAGCAACGCCGCGUGAGUGAAGAAGGUUUUCGGAUCGUAAAGCUCUGUUGUAAGAGAAGAACGAGUGUGAGAGUGGAAAGUUCACACUGUGACGGUAUCUUACCAGAAAGGGACGGCUAACUACGUGCCAGCAGCCGCGGUAAUACGUAGGUCCCGAGCGUUGUCCGGAUUUAUUGGGCGUAAAGCGAGCGCAGGCGGUUAGAUAAGUCUGAAGUUAAAGGCUGUGGCUUAACCAUAGUACGCUUUGGAAACUGUUUAACUUGAGUACUGUAGGGGUAACUGGAAUUCCUGGUGUAGCGGUGAAAUGCGCAGAUAUCAGGAGGAACACCGAUGGCGAAGGCAGGUUACUGGGCAGUUACUGACGCUGAGGAGCGAAAGCAUGGGUAGCGAACAGGAUUAGAUACCCUGGUAGUCCAUGCCGUAAACGGUGGGCGCUAGGUGUGAGGGUCUUUUCACGACUUUCGUGCCGUAGCUAACGCAUUAAGCGCCCCGCCUGGGGAGUACGGCCGCAAGGCUAAAACUCAAAGGAAUUGACGGGGGCCCGCACAAGCGGCGGAGCAUGUGGAUUAAUUCGAUGCAACGCGAAGAACCUUACCUGGGCUUGACAUACACCGGAUCGGGCUAGAGAUAGUCUUUCCCUUUGUGGCUGGUGUACAGGUGGUGCAUGGUUGUCGUCAGCUCGUGUCGUGAGAUGUUGGGUUAAGUCCCGCAACGAGCGCAACCCUUGUCUUAUGUUGCCAGCAUUUGGUUGGGGACUCAUGAGAGACUGCCGGGGUCAACUCGGAGGAAGGUGGGGAUGACGUCAAAUCAUCAUGCCCCUUAUGUCCAGGGCUUCACACAUGCUACAAUGGUCGGUACAACGCGCAGCGACACUGUGAGGUGGAGCGAAUCGCUGAAAGCCGGCCUUAGUUCGGAUUGGGGUCUGCAACUCGACCCCAUGAAGUCGGAGUCGCUAGUAAUCGCAGAUCAGCAAUGCUGCGGUGAAUACGUUCCCGGGCCU